AGAGUUUGAUCCUGGCUCAGGAUGAACGCUAGCGGCAGGCCUAACACAUGCAAGUCGAGGGGUAGAAUGUCUUCGGAUGUUUGAGACCGGCGCACGGGUGCGUAACGCGUAUGCAACCUACCUCUUACUGGGGAAUAGCCCGGAGAAAUUCGGAUUAAUGCCCCAUAUGCUCGUACGACCUCAUGGUCGAGCGAGGAAAGCUCCGGCGGUAAGAGAUGGGCAUGCGUCCUAUUAGCUUGUUGGUGAGGUAACGGCUCACCAAGGCUACGAUAGGUAGGGGGCCUGAGAGGGUGACCCCCCACACUGGUACUGAGACACGGACCAGACUCCUACGGGAGGCAGCAGUGAGGAAUAUUGGGCAAUGGAGGCAACUCUGACCCAGCCAUGCCGCGUGCAGGAAGACGGCCCUAUGGGUUGUAAACUGCUUUUAUACAGGAAGAAACACCUCUACGUGUAGAGGCUUGACGGUACUGUAAGAAUAAGGAUCGGCUAACUCCGUGCCAGCAGCCGCGGUAAUACGGAGGAUCCAAGCGUUAUCCGGAUUUAUUGGGUUUAAAGGGUCCGUAGGCGGGUCUUUAAGUCAGUGGUGAAAGCCUGCAGCUUAACUGUAGAAUUGCCAUUGAUACUGGAGACCUUGAGUGUAGUAGAAGUAGGCGGAAUAAGGCAUGUAGCGGUGAAAUGCAUAGAUAUGCCUUAGAACACCGAUUGCGAAGGCAGCUUACUAUGUUACAACUGACGCUGAGGGACGAAAGCGUGGGGAGCGAACAGGAUUAGAUACCCUGGUAGUCCACGCCGUAAAC
rnacentral:rRNA from 1 species